GAUGAACGCUAGCGGGAGGCCUAAUACAUGCAAGUCGAGCGGUAGAGUGACUUCGGUUGCUUGAGAGCGGCGCACGGGUGAGUAACGCGUACAUGACCUACCUUUAAGACUGGGAUAGCCCCUGGGAAACUGGGAUUAAUACCGGAUGUGAUAAUACGUAUAGAGAUGUAUUAUUAAAGUUGAGGCGCUUAGAGAUGGAUGUGCGUCUGAUUAGCUAGUUGGUAGGUAACGCCUACAAGGCGACGAUCAGGUAGGGGCUGAGAGCGUCGGCCCCCCANACGGGUACUGAGACACGGACCCGACUCC
rnacentral:rRNA from 1 species